rnacentral:rRNA from 1 species
UACAGAGGGUGCAAGCGUUAAUCGGAAUUACUGGGCGUAAAGCGUGCGCAGGCGGUUUUGUAAGUCUGUCGUGAAAUCCCCGGGCUCAACCUGGGAAUUGCGAUGGAGACUGCAAGGCUAGAAUCUGGCAGAGGGGGGUAGAAUUCCACGUGUAGCAGUGAAAUGCGUAGAGAUGUGGAGGAACACCGAUGGCGAAGGCAGCCCCCUGGGUCAAGAUUGACGCUGAUGCACGAAAGCGUGGGGAGCAAACAGG